GGGUUACCGAAUGUCGAAUUACCACGCCAGGUUAUGCUUGCGGAACUACAAAAACCCAGUCCCGCUUUCACUGGACUAAGAAACCAAAGUACUACGUCGAUUUGGAUGCAUGCAUUCCGCAUGAAAUGGAUAUUCAAUGCCUUGAGGAAGAUGAAUUUCAUCAUGCUGUCGUGUGGUCUCCUGAACUUGGCUGCCAACUUGUGGUGGAAGUUGCUUUUAUCCUAGAUGUGGACUGUUAUGAUAUCUGGAGAGAUUGUCCGUGCGUCAAACCCAAAGCAUCUGCCAAAAGGGACAUCUGUUCGCUGGGGAUUAUUAGCAUAUUACUAUUUGUUCAUUCAUUGCUUUUUCAGUAAAGUAAUUUUAAUCAAUUCAAUAUAUUUAAAUUGGUAAAAUGCGGCUUGCAUAAACAGUAUAUUUACAUAUUAAGCAGAGAUAACCACAUUUCAUUGCAUCCCUUGAUUUUAAAGUCAUUUUUUUCAUUUAUUUUUCAAAUCCACAAGUAGUACAAAAAUGUUUUUAUGAAACCAUGACAAGGAUAUUCCUAACUUUUGUUCUCCUCGGUCUACUGGGUCCACUCACCACUGAAGGAUUAACAACAAGGAAUAACACAAUAUGCAUUGACUGUUCGAAGGACGACAUGGUAGCUUGUGAAAUAGAUGAAACCGGAUUUGAUUGUUUUGACCCGACGGGCGAGGAUUUGUCCGAAAGGGUCGCAGUCGAGGGCCUUCACUGGGAGGGCACAAGUACCAAGGAUUUGGAUAAAUGCAUUCCAAGAGAUUUAUUGAUUGAGUGCAUGGAAGAAACAAAUUUCAAAAAAGUCGUCGUUUGGUCUCCCGGCUUGGGCUGUCAAGUUGUACAAAAAGCGAGCGAAAGUAAAAGGAGUGCUUGUUUCAGUGCCACUCUAAAUUGCCCGUGCAUCAAGGACAGAAAGGAAUCCGGAUCGGAUGAUCUGUAUACCAGAAGCUGGAUCGUACUUGUUACCUUACACAUAGUGAAGCUCUUGAUCUUAUCCCAUCAGUGACAAUCUAGAAAAUACAAAAACAAAUUUUAGAAAGCAUGUUAAAGCUAUGCUAUACUUUAAUAAUCCUUUCAAUUCCAAUGACCACGUACGGUUCAACAUAUAAUGGCACAAUGUGUGUUGACUGCACGACUGAGAAUAACGAUAAAUGCGAGAUUUCAAAAACCGGGUAUGAGUGCUUCGACCGGACGAGUCGAAUUUACGAUGAGGAUGUAGAGCCGUACUUCGGUUUGAAUCGAAAUCCUCCGAGUACCAGUGAUUUAGAUGUUUGCAUCCCGCAGGACUUGGACGUUCCGUGCAUUAAGAACGAAAAUUUCAAAUAUGCCGUAGUUUGGUCUCCGGAACUCGGAUGCCAACUGGUACAAAGGGACUACGACGAAAAGGAGAUAUGUUUUACUGCAAGACAAAAUUGUCCAUGCGUGGAAAGUGGAUCCGGCAAAAUGUACAGAAACAUAUUGACCCUGAUUACAAGUAGAUACUUGGUGCCACUAAUAAUGCUUUUUAAAUUACUACAUUUAAAUUGCUAAGUUUUUAAGCCACUUUACAAUUUGCCAAAUUUUUACGUCCCUUAAGAAAUAAUUUAAAAUGUAAACCUUCUAUUCGUUUGGUCCCUAUUUGCAUUCUACUUUUAGUACAAAUUUAAAAUAUAUCUUUCUAAAUUUUAUGUGGUAAAAGUAAGCUUAAAAUUGGACAGUUAGGUGUUGGCAAAAUUGCUGGUAUCGCAAUAAACGCAUUUCUCGAA